UCUGCCCCAAGAAGGAUACGUUGUUUUCAAUAAUUUUAAAGAAAACUAUUAAGUAACCCCUUUUUUAGUGUAAAAACGAAGAUAUAAGAGUAGAUUAUUUUGCAGGGUUUUACACCUUUACAUCAAUUUUCCCCAACAUUAUUUACGUACAUAUUUUGUAAUGCUUUCUUUUUUUAUUUUUAGGGUCAACUCAUGAAGAUUGUGAUGAACGAGAUGAUCCCAAUUUUACGUUACCUCCCUUGUCACCAGAAGAAAGCCCUCAGCAAUGCUCACCUCAAGUUUUCAACUUUUCAAGCCCUUUGCUCGAUCCCUCGGUAAAUGUUCAGCCUGAAUCUCUCCUGAGCGGCUCAUCAGGCAAUGGUGCAGUACCAAAGUUGCUGGUAAAUUACUCCUUUACCUUGUCAGACAUGUCACCGACCUUUUCACCUACAAGAAGCAG